GGGAAGAUACUCAAGCGGCCAACGAGGGCAGACUGUAAAUCUGCUGGUAUUACCUUCGCAGGUUCGAAUCCUGCUCUUCCCA
rnacentral:tRNA from 1 species